rnacentral:rRNA from 1 species
GAUGAACGCUGGCGGCAUGCUUAACACAUGCCAGUCGAACGGGACGUGCUGUUUCCGGUGGCGGACGGGUGGUUAACGCGUGAGAACCUGCCCUUGGGUGGGGAUCAACCGCUGGAAACGGCUGCUAUUACCCCGUAUGCUGUGGAGCAAAAGGAGGAUUCCGCCCGAGGGGGGGCUUGCGUCUGUUUAUCUAGUUGGUGAUGCAAUACCUUACCAAGGCGAGUAGAAGUCGCUGGUCCGAGAGGAUGAGCAGCCACACUGGGAGUGAGACACGCCGCAGACACUCACAGGAGGCGGCAGUGUGGAGAAUACUGCAAAGGGGGAAAGCCUGAGAGAGCAAAGCGGCGUGGGGGUAGUAAGGCCAUGAGUCGUGAAAUGCUUUUUUAGGAGAAGAAGCAAUGACGGUAUCUGGAGAAUAAGCACCGGCUAACUCUGUG